GCUACUGUAGCCCAAUAGGAAGCAGGCAACAGACUUAAAAUCUGUAAAGUGUGGGUUCGAAUCCCACCAGUAGCA
rnacentral:tRNA from 1 species